GGAGAGGUGCCUGAGUGGUUGAAAGGGGCUCCCUGCUAAGGAGUUAACUGGGUAAAACCGGUUCGAGGGUUCGAAUCCCUCCCUCUCCGCCC
rnacentral:tRNA from 1 species